CGGCCACCGCGAGGCACUGCUAUUAAGUCGAUAGUUGUUGGCAGUCCGAUUGCGCUGCGUAUUUGAAGAGAUUGGCAACGCUACGACAGAACAAAAAGCGUGAAAAAAAAGGAAAAACUUUUCCGGGAGCAUCGAAAUCCGUCUGCGCAGGACAGCUUUAAGUGGAGACUACGAUAAAUUGGACUCAGGUCUUAGCUCAGCAGAAUGGGAAGCAUUGCAAAUGCAAAAAUCGUGGGCUACAUCUGCCGCCUGUGCGUUCAGGCACACAGCAUCGUGAUCCACUUGUACAGCGAUAGAGCCUCCGCGUUGAAGCUAAUUGAGAAACUCCAAUUCCAUUUGGAUCUCACCAUUUCACAGGAGGAUAUUCGCCCCAAAGUGAUCUGCCUAGAAUGCUUUGCUCGUAUCGAGGAAAUCCAUCGUCUCUGGCAGUCCGAGCGUCCUGCCCAAGAUACAGAAAAAGUUCCUCAAAAAGAUAAAGAAGAUACACAAAAGGACGGCGACGAUUCCUCCGAUGCGGCCCCGAUGGCCCCAAACGUGUCUAAUGACUAGAGCGAUGACCAUCUGAUCGAUCUGUGCUUGCAUCUACAUUUACAAGACUACAUUUAACUUCACACUGAACCUGAAAUCGAUCUCAAUCUACUCAAUAUACCAACACUCCAGCGGAUCCCUCUAAAGACGUACCAGCCUGAAGCUCAACAGCCAAUGUGAUUGUUUAUGAAAGC